GAUGAACGUUGGCGGCGUGCCUAAUACAUGCAAGUCGAGCGAACAGACGAGGAGCUUGCUCCUCUGACGUUAGCGGCGGACGGGUGAGUAACACGUGGAUAACCUACCUAUAAGACUGGGAUAACUUCGGGAAACCGGAGCUAAUACCGGAUAAUAUAUUGAACCGCAUGGUUCAAUAGUGAAAGACGGUUUUGCUGUCACUUAUAGAUGGAUCCGCGCCGCAUUAGCUAGUUGGUAAGGUAACGGCUUACCAAGGCAACGAUGCGUAGCCGACCUGAGAGGGUGAUCGGCCACACUGGAACUGAGACACGGUCCAGACUCCUACGGGAGGCAGCAGUAGGGAAUCUUCCGCAAAGGGCGAAAGCCUGACGGAGCAACGCCGCGUGAGUGAUGAAGGUCUUCGGAUCGUAAAACUCUGUUAUUAGGGAAGAACAAAUGUGUAAGUAACUAUGCACGUCUUGACGGUACCUAAUCAGAAAGCCACGGCUAACUACGUG
rnacentral:rRNA from 1 species